UGAUCCAGCAAUACCGCGUGUGUGAAGAAGGCCUGCGGGUUGUAAAGCACUUUUAGUGGGGAAGAUAAUGACGUUACCUACAGAAAAAGCACCGGCUAACUCCGUGCCAGCAGCCGCGGUAAUACGGAGGGUGCAAGCGUUAAUCGGAAUUACUGGGCGUAAAGCGUGCGUAGGCGGCUCUUUAAGUCGGAUGUGAAAUCCCCGGGCUCAACCUGGGAACUGCAUCCGAUACUGGAGAGCUAGAAUGUGGGAGAGGGAAGUGGAAUUUCCGGUGUAGCGGUGAAAUGCAUAGAGAUCGGAAGGAACAUCAGUGGCGAAGGCGACUUCCUGGACCAACAUUGACGCUGAGGCACGAAAGCGUGGGUAGCAAACAGGAUUAGAUACCCUGGUAGUCCACGCCGUAAACGAUGUCAACUAGCCGUCGGCUCCAACUAAUGGGUCGGUGGUGCAGCUAACGCAUUAAGUUGACCGCCUGGGGAGUACGCGCGCAAGCGUAAAACUCAA
rnacentral:rRNA from 1 species